CCUACGGGUGGCAGCAGUGGGGAAUAUUGGGCAAUGGGCGCAAGCCUGACCCAGCAACGCCGCGUGAAGGAAGAAGGCUUUCGGGUUGUAAACUUCUUUUGUCAGGGAAGAGGAGAAGACGGUACCUGACGAAUAAGCCACGGCUAACUACGUGCCAGCAGCCGCGGUAAUACGUAGGUGGCAAGCGUUGUCCGGAUUUACUGGGUGGAAAGGGCGUGUAGCCGGGUUGACAAGUCAGAUGUGAAAUCCUGCGGCUUAACCGCAGAACUGCAUUUGAAACUGUUGAUCUUGAGUACUGGAGAGGCAGCCGGCAUUCCUAGUGUAGCGGUGAAAUGCGUAGAUAUUAGGAGGAACCCCAGUGGCGACGGCGGUCUGCUGGACAGCACCUGACGGUGAGGCGCGAAAGCGUGGGGAGCAAACAGGAUUAGAUACCCUUGUAGUC
rnacentral:rRNA from 1 species